rnacentral:rRNA from 1 species
GAGUUUGAUCCUGGCUCAGGAUGAACGCUAGCGGCAGGCUUAACACAUGCAAGUAGAACGGUAACAGAGAGAGCUUGCUCUCUGCUGACGAGUUGCGAACGGGUGCGUAACGCGUAUGCAACCUACCCAUAACAGGGGGAUAGCCCAUAGAAAUGUGGAUUAAUACCCCAUAACAUCAUUUUCUGGCAUCAGAAAAUGAUUAAMACUCCGGUGGUUAUGGAUGGGCAUGCGUGACAUUAGCUAGUUGGUGAGAUAACUGCUCACCAAGGCAACGAUGUCUAGGGGUUCUGAGAGGAUGAUCCCCCACACUGGUACUGAGACACGGACCAGACUCCUACGGGAGGCAGCAGUGAGGAAUAUUGCGCAAUGGAGGAAACUCUGACGCAGCCAUGCCGCGUGCAGGAAGACUGCCCUAUGGGUUGUAAACUGCUUUUAUAUAGGAAGAACUACAGCUACGUGUAGCUGUUUUGACGGUACUAUACGAAUAAGGACCGGCUAACUCCGUGCCAGCAGCCGCGGUAAUACGGAGGGUCCAAGCGUUAUCCGGAUUUAUUGGGUUUAAAGGGUCCGUAGCGGGGUCAUUAAGUCAGUGGUGAAAUCCUACAGCUCAACUGUAGAACUGCCAUUGAAACUGAUGACCUUGAGUAAAUUGAAGUGGGCGGAAUGUGUCAUGUAGCGGUGAAAUGCUUAGAUAUGCCACAGAACACCGAUUGCGAAGGCAGCUCACUAAGUUAUAACUGACACUGAGGGACGAAAGCGUGGGUAGCGAACAGGAUUAGAUACCCUGGUAGUCCACGCCGUAAACGAUGUAUACUCGUUGCUGGCGAUACACAGUCAGUGACCAAGCGAAAGUAUUAAGUAUACACCUGGGGAGUACGCUCGCAAAAUGAACUCAAAGGAAUUGACGGGGGCCCGCACAAGCGGUGGGAGCAUGUGGUUUAA